rnacentral:rRNA from 1 species
UGGGGAAUAUUGGACAAUGGGCGAAAGCCUGAUCCAGCCAUGCCGCGUGUGUGAAGAAGGUCUUCGGAUUGUAAAGCACUUUAAGUUGGGAGGAAGGGCAGUAAGCGAAUACCUUGCUGUUUUGACGUUACCGCCAGAAUAAGCACCGGCUAACUCUGUGCCAGCAGCCGCGGUAAUACAGAGGGUGCAAGCGUUAAUCGGAAUUACUGGGCGUAAAGCGCGCGUAGGUGGUUCGUUAAGUUGAAUGUGAAAGCCCCGGGCUCAACCUGGGAACUGCAUCCAAAACUGGCGAGCUAGAGUAGGGCAGAGGGUGGUGGAAUUUCCUGUGUAGCGGUGAAAUGCGUAGAUAUAGGAAGGAACACCAGUGGCGAAGGCGACCACCUGGGCUCAUACUGACGCUGAGGUGCGAAAGCGUGGGGAGCAAACAGG